rnacentral:lncRNA from 9 species
UUUUUUCUUUUUUGUCUUUUCUAGGGCCGCACCCACGGCCUAUGGAGGUUCCCAGGUUAGGGGUCUAAUCAGAGCUGUAGCUGCCGGCCUACACCAGAGCCACAGCAACUCCAGAUGCGAGCUGCGUCUGCGACCUACACCACAGCUCAUGGCAAUGCCAGAUCCUUAACCCACUGAGCAAGGCCAGGGAUUGAACCAGCAACCUCAUGGUUCCAAGUCGGAUUCAUUAACCACUGAGCCACAACGAGAACUCCCAGAGUUUUAUUUUCUUAUUUGUCAAAAAUAAAAGAGAUAAUUUCCUAGGGGUUAUGUAAAUGAAGUUAUAGCUGGGUUUGGGUAAAAUGGUCUAAUCUGUUGGUAUUAGAGUAUGUACAUUACUUGCCAUUCAGAAAUUUAGUUUGAGUACUCCAUUUAAUGAGUAAUAUUUUUAUUUCAUAAUCAGUAAAUUUCAAAGAGACUGCCAUACUAGAGUCAAAGACACAGCUUGAAAACAAUGUUGCAAUUUAAUUAAUAAAGGACUUUUUUAUGUGAGGGAAAGAGGUCAUAAUUUUACUUAGAAUCAAAAGAAUGCCUUUAAAAGCAUAUUUCUAGUGUUUGGAAAGUUUAUGUUCUAUUACCCAAUUAGAAGUUAGCAACAAAUUCUAUAUUGUUCUGCACACAUCUACUUAAAUUUUACUGUUAAUGGCAUAAUGAUUAUCAGAGAAUGCGGCAGUUUGAAUUACUCUAACAUCCUUCUGGUAAAAACAAUCUGAUGUGUUGGUGCACCGUGAAACAAAAUUUUGGAUCAUUAACUUAAUUAAUGCUGCAAGUCAAUUAACAAUAUUUGUCAGUGCCUUGAGGCUUGAAGUAUGCUGAUAGGGCUUGCACAAAGAAAAGCAUUUAUGUCUCUUGAACUCAAGGAGCCUUUUUCUACUAAGAUAUGUUAGCUGUCAGAGCAGCUGUUUGGAAGAAUAAACUGAUCUCAUUGCUUUGACAUUCAUCAAUUAAUGGUGUUGAUACACACUAUUUAUUAUAGAUAGAAGGAGAUGUGCCUCGGGAAGUGUAAGCUCCUAGCACAUGGAGAAUGGGAAUUGUUGACGAGUAAAACGAAUGCAUAAUAGGAGGUCAAAGUCUACACAGAUUUUCCAAGAUUAUAGUUUAAACUUACAGAAGAAAUUUAGUAUGUGUCUUCAUGUUCUGGGGCAGAAGGUGUGAUGAAGUGUUGAGCAUAAAUUGAAUCUGAUGUGAUCAUCUGUGAUCUUUUCAACAGGGAUAUAUAUUUAAGUUCCCCUCAUUCCAAUAGUAGGUUUUAAUGUUAGAUUAUGUGGAGUUGAACUAAAUGUAUUCUUACCUAUUAAACUUAGCCACCCUAUGGGGAUAUACUGAUUUCUGAUAUCCAUGGUUUGUGCAGGCUUCAGUUUAAUAGCUUAGAUCAUACAUGUAUUAGAUCACCACAGUAAUAUUUUAUAUUUAUACACAGAGGAGAAGGAAGACUAUGUGGACCUAACAAAGUCCAUUUUGUAUCUAAAUUGAUUAUUUUAUUAACAAAUACAAUUCCAAAUACAUAUAUGUCAUGUAUUCUGAAUGCUUAUGCUUAUAAGUUUUUUUAUUACUUUAGCAGAAAGUAGCUGUUUUUGGAUACUAUAUAAAUGUUUCCUGUUAUUGCAAAACACACUAUGAAGACAGCACGUCUAAAUAUUCUGGUCAAAUAGCAUUAUAGCUUUUCACAUGGAUAUGAAGUGAAAUGUUAUUUUUAAAUAAGGUAGUAAUAAAAGUAAAAGGAAAAAAAGUUUUACCUUUGUAUUUUAAAUAAACACAAAUGUGGAGUUCCUGUUGUGGCUCAGUGGUUAAUGAAUCUGACUAGGAAUCAUGUGGUUGCGUGUUCGAUCCCUGGCCUUGCUCAGUGGGUUAAGGAUCCGUCAUUGCCCUGAGCUGUGGUGUAGGUCACAGACACGGAACGGAUCCCAUGUUGAUGUGGCUCUGGCAUAGGCCGGCAGCUACAGCUCCAUUAGACCCCUAGACCCCUGGCCUGGGAACCUCCAUAUGCUGUGGGGAACUCUCUGAGCAACAUUUAUACUGAGAUCAGCAGGUGGUGCCUUCUCUCAUACUCACAGCACUUUCCUGUUCCCCAUCUACUACCCAAUGCAUUCAUAUUUUAUUCCUUCUAGGACAAAGUGUAAACUCACUCUAAGUGUGAAUGAGUGUACUAAAUUAGAACAAAUAAAUAAUCUUUAUUGUUGAAUUCCCUGCAGAUGAAGUAAUUGGGGGGACCUGGGAUGUGAGAGUGGUGGGAAAGAGAGAGGAAGAUUUUCUAGAAGUCCUGAAAUCAUAACAUAUAUGUACCCUUGUUAUUUAUGAUCCUAAGGGUACACGUUUGGUGAGACUCACACUUAUCUUGUGCCCCUGAGGCAUGUCUUUAUAGAAAUUGCACAACACACUUCUAACACUACCAUUAUACUAACACUAUUACUGAUGCUACUAAUGAGCACUGGUACUUAUUGAAAGUUGGACACUUUGCGAGGUAUUUUACAAACAUCAUCUUUACUCAUUACAGCAACUCUCAAAGGUAACUAUAAUUAUUCCCAUUUUAAAGUUGGGGGAGUUGAGGGCCAACAAGAUUAGGUGACUUUCCGAAAGCUAUAGCUAAAUCAGUUUUUACCAAAUCCCUUGAUUCUAUACACAGGCUUGUUGCCCCUUGUCUUCAUUUAUAGUUCAAAAACAUUAUUUUGUUAGAAGGCAAAACUUAUGUGAUCUGCUUUGACUUAUUCAAACUUGCUUUAUGUCAUCAUCAAGCAGUUCAGUUUUCCAAAUGCGAAACUAUAUAUACAUGAUGAGCAUUAUUUUAAAAUAUGAUAUCCAAAUAUAUUUUCUUAAAAUUUUCUUUUAAAAUAGUAUUCUGCAAAGAAUCUACAAACUUAAAAAAAAAAAAAAAACAAAAAAAACAAAACUAACCCGGGAGUUCCUGCCAUGGUGCAGCAGAAACAAAUCCAACUAGGAAUGUUGUGGGUUGUGGGUUCGAUCCCUGGCCUCACUCAGUGGGUUAAAGAUCUGGCAUUGCCAUGAGCUGUGAUGUAGGUUGCAGGUGCGGCUCAAAUCUGGCAUUGCUGUGUUGGCCAGCAGCUGUAGCUCCAACUAGACCCCUAGCCUAGGAACCUCCAUAUGCUGCAGGUGUGGCCCUAAAAAAAAAAAAAAAAUCUAUCCUGGUUUCACCUAUUUCACUGAACUUUAAAUUGUGUUUAUAAAUACUACAGAGCAACCCAAUAUAAUAUACAUCUUCUAAAAAUAUAUAGUGUGCCAAUUACAGCAGAGUAAUUUUCUCUCCUCAAACUUAUCAACAGCAUACAUUUUAUACCAUUUGAAAGUUUACCACCAUCAAUCAACUAAUAUGUAAGUGUUGGGUGGAUGGAUAGAUAGAUAUAGAAAGAUAAUAGAGAUAGAAAUAGGUAUAUGUUUAUAUAUGGACAUGAUGUCCUAUUAGAAUGCCAAAGACUAGUCAAACAAGCUUGCUCUACAUGUUAAAUUCCGAUUCCAAAAUGUCAAGGUAAAUUGUGACUCAGUUUUGCUCUGGCUUACCUGAGAAAUCAGGCUGUAAUACUUUAUACCCGACUAAAAUAACUAGAAAUAACAAGUCAUUUUAAUCUCCAUUUAAAUCAUGACACUUGCUGCAUCUUCCUCACAGUGUGGGUCAAAUGUCAAUAAUCACAGUGAUAAUUAUAAAAAUCAUAAAAAAUGAUGACGAUAACAUGAAGGAAUCACAACAAUAAUUGCUAACAGUUAUUUAGGACAUAGAAUGGUUCAGGUCUUAUGCUUUAAAUAGACCAUGUCCUUUAACUUUAGAGCACUGUUUUGAAUAUACGAUGUUCUUUCUGAUCUUGCACAAGACACUUAGCAGAUGGACUAAGAGCUGAAACUCUGGAAUGAACUGUAUUAGCUCACAUCCUGACUCUACCACAAAUCAACUGGGUCACUUUAGAAAACUGACUCAACUUUUCUUUCCAUCAGCUUCCUUGUCUACAUAAACUGGAAAAUUAUGAUCCCCCAUCAUAGGUGUCUUGUGAGAAACAGAUAAAGUGCUUAGAACAGUAUCUGGCUAAGAGUAACUGCUUAAAGCAUUUGCUAUAUUUAUGCCUAUUCUUUAUGGAAAAUCAUUUUAAAAUAACAAAGUUCAUGGAUUUCUGUUAUACUUGAUAUGGCUAAAAUCUUGGUAGGAAAAAAAAGCAAACAUUGUCAUACCUGUGUAUCCAGUCUUGCAAACACAGUUGAAGCCUCCUGGAAAGUUCUGGCAGAUGGCACCGUUCUUGCAGGGACUAGGCAGGCACUCAUUGAUGUCUCUCUCACAGGCCCGGCCAGUAAAGCCAUCUGGGCAGCUGCAGGAAAAUCCUCCCACUAAAUUGUGACAGGUCCCAGCAUUAUGGCAGGGGGAUGGGAGGCACUCGUCUAUGUCUAUUUCACACCAGCUGCCCGCAUAGCCUGGCAGACACUUGCAGAAGAAAGGCUGCAAAGGUUCGUUUGCCACGAUGAUGACUGGCAGGCUCUCAUAGCUCUUUAAUUCAGAGCUCACAGCCAGCCUCCUCACACAGCUCCCUCCGUUCUGACACGGGCCAUGAGCACAGGAAUCGUGGUCCACAGAUUCCACCUUCACCCCACUCUGCCGGAGGAGGAUCUCUUUGAUGCUUUCAAAGAAGGUGGCUACACCGCUGGGAUUCACAUACUGAUUAUGGUUGCGUUUCACAGCUGCCAAAAGAAACGUCCUAUUGUUCCCCUCAUAGGCACCAUACAGUUGCACAGCAGUCCCCAGGCCAGUGAGCUGUGAACCUGCAAUGCGUAAGAAAUGAAGGUAGUGGUUGGUCAGGAAGUCCUUUACGGUUGGGACACUGAGACGCAGGAGGAUGCUGUUGUCCACUGUUGCAUUGGAAAAUCCAGAGAAGAAAACUCGGAUAUUGCUCGUAACGGUGCCAUGGACUCCGUCAUUGCUAAGGACAGUCAGAUCAAACGUGCCAUCUGUGGACCUCGGCUGGGAAUUCAAAUCACAAGUGCCCCUUGGAAUACUGAAGAGGCUUGUGACUCCUGAAGUUAGGGAGCAGUGGAAGGUGUCUAAUACAUCAGGAUCCUGUGGCUUCACGGAGCCUAAAAUCCCACCAGGAAACAAGUUGCCAUAAUAGUUAACAAAGAUCUCCACCGUCCGAGACUGUGAAGGGUUGUCAUUUUGGUCUAUAACUGUAAUGUGUACAGUUCCCGUGGAAGACAUCUGAGGAACACCAGAGUCCCUAGUGACCACAGACAGAUAGAAGUCUGCAAUCUGCUCUCUGUCAAUCUCUCGAGUGGUGCUUAGAACUCCAGCUGUGUUCAGACUGAAGUAAUUGGUGGCCGGACCAGUGCUCAGCAAGUAAUAGGUAAAGGGGCCUUGAUUUGGAGGGAGAUCAGGAUCAGUGGACUGAAGGGUCAUCACCAGAGUUCCUGAGCGUUUGUUUUCCAUAACUUCUCCUUCACUGAUGGUCAGCAUGGGCCCAUUAUCAUUUAUAUCUUCCAGGGUGACUAAUAAGGAAGCACUCCCUGUGGCUGAGGGGGUCCCCGAAUCCACAGCCAAAACCGUGAGAUUAUAGAUGGGUAGGUUUCUCGAUCUAAUUCUGCAGUAACGGUGAUCUGUCCUGUCUGGGGAUUAAUGGAAAAGGCACCAUUUUCAUUCCCUGAUCCAAUGAAGUAAGAAAACCUACUCCAGCUGGGCACAGAGUCUGAGUCGAAGGCACUGACAAAGGUCACAUGGGUUCCCGUGGGAACCCCUUCGCUGAUCUGAACACUGUAGAUGUUUAGACUAAAAACAGGUGGGUCGUUGGCAUCAAGCACCGUGACAUUUACAGUGACCUCAUCUAUGUCUGCACCCCUAAUGCUGCCAAAAUUCUUGGCCAAUACCUUCAAAGAUACCCUUUCUUCUUUUUCUCUAUCAAGAAGUCCAGAAACAUAAAUUUGUCCGGUCUUCUUAUUGAUCUGGAAACCCUUCUUUCUACUGUUACCAAAAAGUAAAUAAUGUACCUCCCCAUCAGUGCCCAAAUCACGGUCACUGGCAAACACUUCUCCAACAAUAGUACCUUUAGGAGCUGCUUCUGAGAUUUCAAAAUAGUAAAGUUUGGAAACAAAACGAGGCACAUAUUCAUUUGUCCCUUUCAAUUGUAUAUUAACAGUGGCAAAACUGCACCUUUCUUCAUCAGGGACAUUGAAAGCUUUCACAGUAAGGUGGUAGCUCUGCUUGGUUUCAAAAUCCAAGAAGCCUUGCGUGGUGAUGACUCCUGUGUUGGGGUCAAUGACAAAAAGGUCACUGUCAGAUGACUGUACAGUAUAUGCGAUCACAGCAUUAGUUCCAGAGUCAGCAUCUGUUGCAUUUAGGUGGAUAACUGUUGUCCCACUCGGGGCAUUUUCUAAAACAGUGGGGAAAUAUUCAUCGGGGAGGAAUACUGGAGAAUUGUCAUUCACAUCAAUUACAUUGACAGUGACACUGCAGUAACCAGUUCUGGCAACCCAUCCUCCAUCUGUAGCACUGAUAGUCAUUUCAUGUUUCUGGCAUAGCUCAUAGUCAAGAGCUUUGGCUAGUGUUAAUAUACCUGUGGAGGAAUUGAUGGCAAAGAUGCCUUCUUCAUUUCCUGAGGAAAUACUGUACCUAACUAAGCCAUUCAUAGCUGUGUCUCUAUCUCUUGCAGAAACAGUUCUGACAAUGGCCCCAAUGCUAUGGCUUUCAGGAAUGGUUGCACUCAUGUGGCUUUGAGAGAAUUCCGGGGUGUGGUAGUUCUCUUCAGUGACAAUUAUUUGAACGGUUGCUUGGGAUGAAAGUGGAGGGUUUCCUUUAUCCUUGGCAGUGACAGUGAUCAAAAAGUUUUGAUUUAAGUCAGAUAUCAGGGAAGAUGCUACUGAAAUCCACCCUGUGUUAUUGUCUAACUUAAAUUUUCCCAAAUGAUUUUCAUUCAAAAUGAAAUACUCCACCUCAGAAUUCAGUCCAAAAUCCUUGUCAUCGACUGCAGUAACUUUGAUUAACUUUGUGCCAACUUUCACGUUUUUGGUGACUGGAGUAAAAUAUUUAGUUUGAAGAAACUGUGGUGCGUUGUCAUUACUGUCCACUGUGUUGAUGGUAACCGUUGUCUCACUAAGUAAUGAAGGAUUGCCUCGGUCUGAAGACGUCACUAUAAAACUAUGUCUGUUGAUGUUCACGUUACUGAAGCCACUAACAUUUUGGUAUUUUAAGACCUGUUUAUUGAAAAUCUCUCCUGUGGUGGCAUUAAUCCUGAAGUAUUCU